rnacentral:tRNA from 2 species
UCCUCAGUAGCUCAGUGGUAGAGCGGUCGGCUGUUAAUUGACUGGUCGUAUAUUCAAAUCCUACUUGAAGAG